UCGAGUCCCUCUUUAUGAGAUUGAGAACGUGUAGCAUUACCCAUCGAGAACAAGCUAGUUUUGCAAUUGCACUUCUGCUUUCUAGAUGGCUGUCUUUUUGCCGCCUUUGGCUUGCUUUACUCGAGGCAACAAGGAGAGCGGGAAUAAGACCCCGGCGCGGUUUGCGCCAAGGACGGUUGUUGUUGGAGUGCAUCGCCUUCUUUUUUGUUGCGCGGUGUGUUCUCCUACUAGUGUGAGAAUAUGCAUGACUCUUGGCAACGGAUAUCUAGGCUCUCGCGUCGAUGAAGAACGUAGCGAAAUGCGAUACUUGGUGUGAAUUGCAGAAUCCCGUGAACCAUCGAGUCUUUGAACGCAAGUUGCGCCCAAGACCAUCAGGUCGAGGGCACGUCUGCUUGGGCGUCACGCCUAGCGUCACUCGGAGCACCUACCUAGCUUGAAACGUCAUGACGGUUUCGGUGCAUCUUGAUGUGGACAUUGACUCUUCGCGCACUUCACGCGCGGUGGGUUUAAGUGAUUGGUGUUGCUGGGUUUCCACGCGACGGAAUGGUGGAUAGAUUAUACGCAUCAAGCCUCCAGUUAUGCACGUGACUCCCAGCCAUGGCUUACAAGAAGUGGAACCCAGAACGAUGCUUGCACCUUUUGCAAGAUCGGACC
rnacentral:misc_RNA from 1 species